rnacentral:rRNA from 1 species
AUUGAACGCUGGCGGCAGGCCUAACACAUGCAAGUCGAACGAGUGGCGGACGGGUGAGUAAUGUCUGGGAAACUGCCUGCUGGAGGGGGAUAACUACUGGAAACGGUAGCUAAUACCGCAUACCAUCAGAUGUGCCCAGAUGGGAUUAGCUAGUAGGUGGGGUAAUGGCUAACCUAGGCGACGAUCCCUAGCUGGGCUGAGAGGAUGACCAGCCACACUGGACCUGAGAUACGGUCCAGACGCCUACGGGAGGCAGCAGUGGGGAAUAUUGCACAAUGGGCGCAAGUCUGAUGCAGGCAUGCCGCGUGUGUGACGAAGGCCUUCGGGUUGUAAAGCACUGUCAGCGAGGAGGCGUUACUCGCAGAAGAAGCACCGGCUAACUCCGUGCCAGCAGCCGCGGUAAUUC